rnacentral:rRNA from 1 species
UACAGAGGGGGCAAGCGUUGUUCGGAAUUACUGGGCGUAAAGGGCGCGUAGGCGGCCUUCUAAGUCGAACGUGAAAUCCCCGGGCUCAACCCGGGAACUGCGUCCGAUACUGGAAGGCUUGAAUCCGGGAGAGGGAUGCGGAAUUCCAGGUGUAGCGGUGAAAUGCGUAGAUAUCUGGAGGAACACCGGUGGCGAAGGCGGUCUGCUGGGCAGUAGCUGACACUGAGGCGCGACAGCGUGGGGAGCAAACAGG